ACGUGGGCUGCAAUGUUUUUUUUAGUAGAGUUUAUUUUUAGUCGCGUUUUUUUUUUAGUAGAGUUAUUUUUUAGUCUUUUUUUUUUUUUGUCUUGGUUUCUGUCUUGGUUUCCGUCUUGUUCUUGUCUAUUAUAUGUUGAGUUGUUCGGUAAUCUAUUGAAAGUGGACGCUGUGCUGACAAUCGACAUUUCAUCUUAUCCGAAUAUAAAUCAAGUAAUCUUCCACCUUAUCUUCCCACUCCUGUCUAUCUCUCUCUUAUUACUGUCAUGCUUAGUCCCUCAUGAAUCUCCGUAGUAACAAUCAACAUCACCUCUUAUCCGAAUACACUUCAACUCCUACUCCGGUUUUUUUGUCCCUCUCCAGAUCUCCGUCUCUUAGUAUUGCCAUGUCAAGUCGCUCAUGAAUCUACUGAAACUGAACUCCGUACUAACAAUUAAUAUCUUUAUCUUUUCCGAACAUAUACAUCAACUCCUAUUCCGGCUUUUUGUCCUUCUCCAGUCUGUCUCUUCCUUCCUCAUCCCGUUCUCCAUCGCAACUCCUGUUUAAGUAGUUCAGAAACCUAUUGAAAACCUACAAUUGAAACUCCGUACUAGCAAUCAAUAUUUUCAUCUUUUCCGAAUAUAUACCAACUUCUAUUCCGGUUUUUCGUCCCUCUCCAGUCUGUCUCUUCCUUCCUCACCCUGUUCUCCUGUUUAAGUAGUUCAGAAACCUAUUUAAAACCUACAAUUGAAACUCCGAACUAACAAUCAGUAUUUUCAUCUUUUCCAAAUAUACAUCAACUCCUAUUCCGUUUUUUUGUCCUUCAAUCUCUCUCAUAUCCUCACCCUGUUCUCCUGUUUAGUAGUUCAGAAACCUAUUGAAAACCUACAAUUGAAACUCCCGUACUAACAAUCCAUAUUUCAUCUUUUCCCAAUAUAUACGAGCUUCUAUUCCGGUUAUUUGUCCCUCUGCAGUCUAUCGUCAGUCCAAUCAAGUGAGAGUCAUUUGGACAACUAUCAAUCAACCAUCUCACACGUGAACAUCAAUUUCCUCCUAUCUCGCUUUAAUUUCCCCUCCUCGUCGGUCUUGUUACAUCAGAGUGAACGGAUUUGUGUGUCUUAUUCCCCACACAUUUUAGGUCAUGGUGUGCAGCUGUGGCCACUAAAAUCGGUCUAAAUCGCUCUUAACUCAGGUGUGUGGGGGUCUGGGGGGGCUGUUGCGAGUGUUUUAAAUAAUUGCUCCAACACCUCGCUGAACAUGCAUCGACUAAAACAGUAAGGCCAAUAUUUUAAGACUUUCGCUCCUCAAAUCAGCUAUUUCUAAAGGUCAAAGAACGGGUCAGUCGGGUUCUAAUGGGUGUUUCUUCAGGCUCACGGUACAGAGGAAGGGUCAAACUACCACCAGGAUCAUAAAACUACUCCUGG